rnacentral:rRNA from 1 species
AAAGGUUCCCUCAGAAUGGUUGGAAAUCAUUCGCAGAGUGUAAAGGCACAAGGGAGCUUGACUGCGAGACCUACAAGUCGAGCAGGGACGAAAGUCGGGCUUAGUGAUCCGGUGGUUCCGCAUGGAAGGGCCAUCGCUCAACGGAUAAAAGCUACCCCGGGGAUAACAGGCUUAUCUCCCCCAAGAGGGUCC